rnacentral:rRNA from 1 species
AUUGAACGCUGGCGGCAGGCCUAACACAUGCAAGUCGAACGAGUGGCGGACGGGUGAGGAAUGUCUGGGAAACUGCCCGAGGGAGGGGGAUAACGACUGGAAACGGUAACUAAGACCGCAUACCAUCAGAGGUGCGCAGAUGGGAUUAGCUAGUAGGGGGGGGAACGGCUCACCUAGGCGACGAUCCCUAGCUGGUCUGAGAGGAUGACCAGCCACACUGGAACUGAGACACGGUCCAGACUCCUACGGGAGGCAGCAGUGGGGAAUAUUGCACAAUGGGCGCAAGCCUGAUACAGCCAUGCCGCGUGUGUGAAGAAGGCCUUCGGGUUGUAAAGUACUUUCAGCGGGGAGGCGUUACCCGCAGAAGAAGCACCGGCUAACUCCGUGCCAGCCGCCGCGGUAAUUC